GAUGAACGCUAGCUACAGGCUUAACACAUGCAAGUCGAGGGGCAGCAUUUCAGUUUGCUUGCAAACUGGAGAUGGCGACCGGCGCACGGGUGAGUAACACGUAUCCAACCUGCCGAUAACUCGGGGAUAGCCUUUCGAAAGAAAGAUUAAUACCCGAUGGUAUAAUCAGACCGCAUGGUCUUGUUAUUAAAGAAUUUCGGUUAUCGAUGGGGAUGCGUUCCAUUAGGCAGUUGGUGAGGUAACGGCUCACCAAACCUUCGAUGGAUAGGGGUUCUGAGAGGAAGGUCCCCCACAUUGGAACUGAGACACGGUCCAAACUCCUACGGGAGGCAGCAGUGAGGAAUAUUGGUCAAUGGGCGCAGGCCUGAACCAGCCAAGUAGCGUGAAGGAUGACUGCCCUAUGGGUUGUAAACUUCUUUUAUAUGGGAAUAAAGUUUUCCACGUGUGGAAUUUUGUAUGUACCAUAUGAAUAAGGAUCGGCUAACUCCGUGCCAGCAGCCGCGGUAAUACGGAGGAUCCGAGCGUUAUCCGGAUUUAUUGGGUUUAAAGGGAGCGUAGGUGGACAGUUAAGUCAGUUGUGAAAGUUUGCGGCUCAACCGUAAAAUUGCAGUUGAUACUGGCUGUCUUGAGUACAGUAGAGGUGGGCGGAAUUCGUGGUGUAGCGGUGAAAUGCUUAGAUAUCACGAACAACUCCGAUUGCGAAGGCAGCUCACUGGACUGCAACUGACACUGAUGCUCGAAAGUGUGGGUAUCAAACAGGAUUAGAUACCCUGGUAGUCCACACAGUAAACGAUGAAUACUCGCUGUUUGCGAUAUACAGUAAGCGGCCAAGCGAAAGCAUUAAGUAUUCCACCUGGGGAGUACGCCGGCAACGGUGAAACUCAAAGGAAUUGACGGGGGCCCGCACAAGCGGAGGAACAUGUGGUUUAAUUCGAUGAUACGCGAGGAACCUUACCCGGGCUUAAAUUGCAUUUGAAUAUAUUGGAAACAGUAUAGCCGUAAGGCAAAUGUGAAGGUGCUGCAUGGUUGUCGUCAGCUCGUGCCGUGAGGUGUCGGCUUAAGUGCCAUAACGAGCGCAACCCUUAUCUUUAGUUACUAACAGGUCAUGCUGAGGACUCUAGAGAGACUGCCGUCGUAAGAUGUGAGGAAGGUGGGGAUGACGUCAAAUCAGCACGGCCCUUACGUCCGGGGCUACACACGUGUUACAAUGGGGGGUACAGAAGGCAGCUACCUGGUGACAGGAUGCUAAUCCCAAAAGCCUCUCUCAGUUCGGAUCGAAGUCUGCAACCCGACUUCGUGAAGCUGGAUUCGCUAGUAAUCGCGCAUCAGCCAUGGCGCGGUGAAUACGUUCCCGGGCCU
rnacentral:rRNA from 1 species